rnacentral:rRNA from 1 species
AUUGAACGCUGGCGGCAUGCUUUACACAUGCAAGUCGAACGGUAACAGGGUGCUUGCACCGCUGACGAGUGGCGAACGGGUGAGUAAUGCGUCGGAACGUGCCGAGUAGUGGGGGAUAACGCAGCGAAAGUUGUGCUAAUACCGCAUACGUACUGAGGUAGAAAGUGGGGGACCUUCGGGCCUCACGCUAUUCGAGCGGCCGACGUCUGAUUAGCUAGUAGGUGAGGUAAAGGCUCACCUAGGCGACGAUCAGUAGCGGGGCUGAGAGGAUGAUCCGCAAAACUGGGACUGAGACACGGCUCAGACUCCUACGGGAGGCAGCAGUGGGGAAUUUUGGACAAUGGGCGAAAGCCUGAUCCGGCCAUGCCGCGUGUCUGAAGAAGGCCUUCGGGUUGUAAAGGACUUUUGUCAGGGAGGAAAUCCCUAGUGCUAAUAACACUGGGGGAUGACAGUACCUGAAGAAUAAGCACCGGCUAACUACGUGCCAGCCGCCGCCGUAA